GUGGGGUUGAGGGGCAGGAAGGGGGCCCCUGGGGAGCCUCAAUUCUCCCCCGUGGGUGAAGGGCAUAAUGAAGCAGUGACCAAGGGCAGCUUGAGGGGAACGGAGGGGCGAGGGCCUGAAGCUGACAGGAAGGGAAGUUCUCCUUCAUCUCCCUGGGGGCAUUUUACCAAUGGGCUUCUGGAGGCCCAGUCUGAUCCCAGUGUAAGGGGAUGGGAAGAGGGGUGGUGGCUCACACCUGUGAUCUUAGCACUCAGGAGGCUGAGGCAAGAGGAUCUCUGUGAGUUCCAGGCCAACCUGGGCUACAUUGUGAAUUCAAGGCCAACCUGGGCUGCAUAGCAAGACCCUGUCUCGAAAAACAACAACCAAACAACAAAUUAAAAAAUAAUAAUAAUAAAGUGAGGGGAAGUCGUCAGCAGGUUGGCCAGAGCAGCAGAUUCCCAAGUGCACUCAGUUCUGUUCCCAGAGUCACCUGGUGUGACAGUAAUCGUGACCACAUUUCCUGGGGCAAGGGACGUGACCUGGAGAGGCUGAAGAGGCCCCCACCGGGGAAGGGACCCCACCUCCCUGGCACUGGAGCUCUGGGAGUUUCAGUCCCUGCAGUGGCUGUCUGGGGUCAGAUGUGGCCCACGCAGUCCCGUAUCCACUGAUAGGGACAAAGGGGCAGGGUGAUGUGGCAGAUGGUUCUCAAUGACACUUUUGCUUGUUUGUUUUAUUUUUAUUUAUUUAUCUUUGGAACCAGGGAUCGAACUGGGGACCUUGCACUUGUGAGGCAGGCGGCGGAACCACUGAGCUAAAUCCCCAGCCCUGUUUGUUUCAUUUUUUAAAAUGGUCUCAUUAAGUAGCUCAGGCUGGUCUUGCUCCCCAGUGCUGGGCUCCCAGGCGUGCACCACCAUGCCCAGACACUCUCUGUUACACUUUUUUCCCACACACAUAAUUCUGGGUUAAAUUAAAAUAUAAUUUCUCCCAAGGGGAAGGAGCCCUGGGCAACAGCCAGCCUGGAGGACAGCACCUGCAGGACAGAAGUGGAGAGACUGUGGAGCCGAGGAGGAGCCUGCAGGCUCAGGCAUGUGGUGGGGAUUGAGCCCAGGGCCUCUCGAGUGCUACACCAACGCCAGACCACUGAGCGGCCUCCCUAGCCCCAGUUAAUUUCAAGCCCGCGGCUGUGCAGAACCUGGUCUCAGGACGCCCCCUGGUGACCCGUUGGAAGAACGGCUGUUGCAGUGGUCCGGGGACACUCCAGGCGGUGGCUGGUGUCUGCUGGGACUGAGGAAGGGCAGGGUCGCCUGGGUGGUCAGCAGAAAGGUGGGCUUUGGGCAACUCCCCCGCGGGCGGGACGCCACCUCGAGGGGUUGGAAAUGUGGGGCGUUCCAGAUGGUCCCAGGGGUGUUGCAUGUCCUGCACGAUACUGGCAGGCCCUGUGCUUCCGGCGGCUCCCGAGAGCACCACCAGACGGCAGAGGAGUGCAUGACAUCGCUCCUGGAGUCACUCCUGGAGUUUGUCUAUCCGGACGUGCAAAGCCCUGUGCGUACACCAGGGGUUCCGGGCUAGAAGUGGCUGCUUUGUGCCCCUUGGAAUUCUGUCCGGAGUUGUUCAGCUGCCGUGGUGGCGCACACCUGUCAUCCCAGCACUCGGGAGGCUGAGGCCCCUCGAGUUUGGGGCCAGCCUGGACUACAUAGAUCCUGUCUCAAAAAGCCAAAAGAAAAAAAAAGUAUUAUGAUAAAAGACACAUUGCCACCAGUUCCCCUCAAAACACCCCCAAGGACACUGCUGCCUAUACCCUGGUCCUCCAUCUGUCCUUGACCUUAAGGGAGUGUCUGCCUUUUGGGCCUUUGCUUCCAGUGUCUGAGGGAGGGGCAUUGGUUCUGGGAGACCCUCUGUCCCCCCUCCCCUCCCCUUCGGCAGGCUGUGGCCUCGGUGUGAGGGCUGAUGGAGCGCAGGGCUUAGCGGUCAUUUUGCCACCCC
rnacentral:lncRNA from 1 species